rnacentral:piRNA from 1 species
UGCUACAUCGAUGUUGUCUGCUGCUA